GUGGGGAAUCUUAGACAAUGGGGGAAACCCUGAUCUAACCAUGCCGCGUGAGCGAUGAAGGCCUUAGGGUUGUAAAGCUCUUUCAGCUGGGAAGAUAAUGACGGUACCAGCAGAAGAAGCCCCGGCUAACUCCGUGCCAGCAGCCGCGGUAAUACGGAGGGGGCUAGCGUUGUUCGGAAUUACUGGGCGUAAAGCGCGCGUAGGCGGACCAGAAAGUUGGAGGUGAAAUCCCAGGGCUCAACCUUGGAACUGCCUUCAAAACUCCUGGUCUGGAGUUCGAGAGAGGUGAGUGGAAUUCCGAGUGUAGAGGUGAAAUUCGUAGAUAUUCGGAGGAACACCAGUGGCGAAGGCGGCUCACUGGCUCGAUACUGACGCUGAGGUGCGAAAGCGUGGGGAGCAAACAGGAUUAGAAACCCCGGUAGUCC
rnacentral:rRNA from 1 species